rnacentral:rRNA from 1 species
GUCUCAGUUCGGAUUGGAGUCUGCAACCCGACUCCAUGAAGCUGGAUUCGCUAGUAAUCGCGCAUCAGCCACGGCGCGGUGAAUACGUUCCCGGGCCUUGUACACACCGCCCGUCAAGCCAUGGGAGCCGGGAGUGCCUGAAGUACGUGACCGCAAGGAGCGUCCUAGGGUAAGACCGGUGACUGGGGCUAAGUCGUAACAAGGUAAC